rnacentral:tRNA from 1 species
GGGCUCAUAGCUCAAUGGUAGAGCAUCGGACUCUUAAUCCGCAGGUUCUAGGUUCGAGUCCUAGUGGGCCCA